AGCGCCGAAGUCGCGUGGAAAAUGAAGUUCCGCCUCUAGGGGCGGAGCCCACCAAGUCUUGAUUGGCGCGUGAGCAGUUUUGCCCCGCGCGUUGACUUCUGGGGUUUGUAGUUUUUAGUGUAAACGAGAACUGCUACGUACUCAUUGGCUGCUCAGGAAGGCGGAAGCGAAAAGCGAGAGACGCGAUUCUGCCAGCCUAAAGCUAGAACGGCUGGAUACCUUCCCAGUACUUUAUUCGGCCCUGUGUGACAGGGAAGAGCCGUUGUUUUAUUCUCCCAUUGGCCCCGUUAUACCUAGAACCUACCAGGAUCUAAGAAAAUAUUUCCCGAAGUGUAUGAGAAAUCACAUCAGUCAUUAAGCAGAAGGCUCUGGUCUUCCUGUUCAAGACCUAGCCUGUAGGAUCAAUAAAUAUUUAUCCUAGCUGGGAAAAGUGAGACCCGGAGAGAGUGACUCGACUCGCAUCACACAACCAAUUAGCAGCAGAACCAGAACGACUCCUGACUCUGACUUGGGGAUCCCUUUUUGGAGACGUGAAAGAGUGAGAAACUGAGGCUCCACCUCGUCCAGUGGCCACAGAUGCUGCAGUCUCCAGAAGUCAGUACCCUCUCCUGCUCCCACAGGCACAAGUUCAUAGAGGGGCCUAAGACUCAGGUGAGAAAUGAAGCAGCGACCCCCCCAGCCCCGCCCCAAUUCCCACGUACCAGGAUCCCAGCCAGAGUGAGGAGCCCCCAGAAGAGCCCCAUGCAAUACUGAGGACAUACUUAUAUAUUUUAAAUUAUUCUUUAUCUGAAAUUAAAAUUGAACCGGACAUUCUAUAUAUUAUCUAGCAGCCCCACCUCAGAACCACUGCUCAGCCACAGACCCCAAGGACUCCCCUUGAUGGCCCCCAUGGCCUCACUUAAAUCACCUGCAAAAUAGUUAGAAGUAAAUCAGAACAGCUGCCUCCCAAUGGGUCUCAUUAAAGAUUAGACGGGCCAAGCAGUCAAGGUUGCCUUAUCCGAAAGCUGAUCUGGGUAAUAUCAGGCUCAAAGUCCUCCCUUCUCCCCGUUCUCUCUUUAACCCUAUCACUGAUGGUGACAGAUAAGAAAAUAGUUUCUUUGCCUCUUUAUUGGGAAGAGUUUGCAGAAGGAGAUAGGUCAGCAGUUGAGUCUAGCUUUGGAGGUGGACAGAUCUGCAUCCUAACACUAGUGCUCCCGUAGUUGGCCUAAUUACUUCACCUCUCGAGCUUCAGUUUCUCCAGCUGGAAAAUGGGAAUAAUACCUCCUUUCUAGAAUUGUUAUGAGGACUAAGUGGAACCAUGCCUGUAAAGUGCUUAGCUUGGGGUCUGGCACACAGGAGGUGCUAGCUAAGUGGUGGCUAUUUCUAUUGUGAUUACUCUUGGUCUGUGGCUGACCCUAUUGCUGUUCUUCAGGACUACCUCAGCCCUGGCUGAUUUCUCUUUGCCCCCGGUACUACUGCCUGCUGGAAGAGCUCAAGCUUUCCUCAUCAAAAUGAGAAAUGAGCUCCUUACCAGAAAAAUCCUGGGGCACAUUUUCAGACACACUGGGAAGUAGUGGAGUAACCACUCUUAGGGAUCACUGUCUACUCUCUGUCCCAGCACAGAACUAAAAACUGAGUGGGUCAGAGGGUGGAUUUUUUUUUUAACAUCUUUAUUGGCGUAUAAUUUCUUUACAAUGGUGUGUUAAUUUCUGCUUUAUAACAAAGUGAAUCAGCUAUACAUAUACAUAUAUCCCCAUAUCAGAGGGUGGAUUUAAGAGGAUCUGCUCCUAGGCCUCCUCAUGCCUGAAAAGGCUGCCGUCAAUCAAGGGUGAGGGCAGUCAAGGCCAAGGAGCUCCUUAGAUGUGAAUUCAGACAUGUCACCCUCCCCAAACCAGCCUGUCGACCCUGCCUCCCUGCUGAGAUGAAGCCUGCAUCUGGAACCCUGCCCAGAGUGCAUUCACUGUUUUCCCUGGGGUCCUCUGGCAGGAUGGCGAUGUCACAAUCAAAGUAGAGUCCAGAGAGGAUGGCCAGAGAUGGUGUCCCCUGGGCCACCCUCACAAUGGACCCGCCCAGCACAAACGGGCUGGAGCAUGAAAAGGCCCAAAUUCUGCCCUCCAUCUACUCCCAGGACCUGUCAGAUCCCCGAGCCUGGCUGCCAGUUAUCAUCCUUGCUGACUCCUGGGGCCCUGCUCUUCCCAGAGGCUAUGCUCCAGGUAAGAGUUGGAGGUUGGGGAACAGGUACAGGGGAGGUAAGGAACCUCUUUUGCCUCAGGUUUUUAGAAUUGUAAAUCCUUCCUGGAAGAAACAACAGUGGAGUCAGCAUUGGAGAGAGGAGCCCUUGGAUUUUGACAAUGCCUGUUUGUACGCACAAGACUUUUCUACAGGACUCAGGAAUCUCUGGCCUGACCCACCUGAAGGUACUCUGGGGACUGCUGGAGUAGACCCUGAGGAAGACUCAGGUCAGAUAAAGCUUCCCACCCUAUCAGUUCUUUCACUUUGAAAGGCCUGGAGCAGAAUGACUUUGAUGGAAGGAAGCUGAUCUGACCGUCAAUUCAGAUGUCAGAGAUCCACCACCACCACCUGAAGUAAUCACCUACUGCCCCACCCCCAAACCUGGCCACGUUGGACCUGGACCCCAAAGAGAUAUUGCCAGAUAUAGCCAGGAGUAUCCAGUUAGGCCUGGGAGCCGAAGUUAUCAAGGGGAGGUGUUUCUAGGUGCAGAGGGUGUCCUGGGCUCUUACUAUGAGGCAGUUCCUCUUCAUUCCCUCAGAGGUAGGGGUGUCUCUCCAUGAAAAGUCACAUGAUGUUCCUGGGGGGAGCCCCUCUGCCCAGCUCCUGCUUCACCAGGCCCAAACUUGUCACAGGAUAGCCUUUUGUGAAGUCACAAAGCUGGCUGCUUCCCAUAGGACCAGGGACCGGGACAAUCAGGGACUACUGGGCAUGACUUGGGGAGAUGGAAGGCUUCAGAAGUGGCCUUUGGACUCUGGAGAGGGGUCUUGAAGGGCUUAGGUUGUAGGGGGUGAAGGGAUCUGUUGGAGACCUGGGGAAGAAGACAGUUUCUCAGAUUCUGGUCAUUGCCAGGAGGUGAGAACAGCUGGGGCUUGGGGCUGUGGUCUUUGGCUAUGGGUUUGUCCCUCAAGACCCAGGGGGAGGGUGGGAUAGGAGGGCCCUGCCCCAAAUGAGUACAUAUAAAGGUCCUUUUCACUGGUGUUCUGGAUGUUCCAUGGCAAAAAGAGGUUAAGACCUCUGUCUGAGCUAGGGACCAGAUCUUCCCCUCAGCGCAAUCCAUCCAUGAUCAUCUACUUAUUGAAUAUUCCACCUGCUUCUUGGGCAAGCACAUGCGGCCAAAUUCUGUUGCAUUAAUAAGCAGCCCUGAUGGCCUUGGGACACCUUCACCUGUUGGACUGCUCAGAGGAAGAAGGGAUAAAAGACUAUCAAGGAGAAGAAAUGCAAGUCCCCAGUGUUCACUUUCUCCGGAGUGUUGAGAUUCUCACCACCAAAGGAGCAAACCCAGGGGAGAAAACAGGAGGGAGGAGAAAGCUUCACUACAGAAAGUGUGGAAAGUCAUCCACUGUUGUCAAAGGUCACAGCUGGUAUGUGGAGGAUGAGGAGAGCCACUUGACGGGAGCCCUGUUCUAAAAACCAAUGAACAAAACUGUUUUCCGUGAAGUUAAGGAUUCCUGUGCCUAGCCCUGUACCUGAAUCCCUUGGACUGAGGAGGAUGCAGCACACAGUGGAGAUGACAGGUCCUGUCCUCAAGGGCCCAUAGUCUAGGGACUGAGUGAGCGUGCCCAGCUUCCUCCCUUAAAGAGAAGGCUAAUGUCCCAGGAAUGUGGCCCAAAGUCCCAGGAAAUGGUGGGGCAGCCUAGAAUCCAGGGACCCCACCUCCCAGGCCAAGGCCUUACAUUUCCCUGAAGGUAAGAACAGACUAGAAUCUUGAGGGCUUUUGACAAUUGACCAAGGCAGCUUCACACUGCCCUUCAGGGUCUGCAGGUCUGGGUCUUGGGGUCACUCAUUCUUUUGAGAGUGACUCUUCCUCACGUGGCUCCUCUCUUGGCCAUUUUUGUUGCUGCAUUCAAGAAGGCCUCCAGAGAGAACCUCCUGCUGUCUGCUCCAUAAAGCCAGUGGUUAUGCUGUGGGGAUAGACCUGGCCUGAGGGGUAAGUGACUAGAGGGUGACUCUGGGUAAGUUUCCCCAUCCAUCCCUCAUAAGUUUACUAGAUCCAUGGUUUUCACUUUUUGAUAGCAUUAUUUUAGCACAGAAUCUUUUUAUUUUAACGCAGUGAAAUCUUGUACACCUGUUCAUUAAGUAAAUAAGAGAGCCAUGUUGGUAGUUGCAGGACAUGGUGUGUCAGAGUCCCUACCAAUUCUGAAGAACCCCCUAUAGUUCCAAUAAACUCAGUUUGAAAACCACAUGCCACAUGGCUUCCAGACACUUCCAGGUUUGACCUGCCAUGAAUUUGUGGCUUCAAAGCCCAGGCUUCAUGGAGGAUGAGAACAGGCCAAGGAAUGCCAUGUUUAGUGGCCCCCUCAGAGCACUGCCAUGAGUACCUUCCCCCACUACCACUUCCAGUUCCUGGUUCUGACUCAGCUUAUUUACAACUGCCAAUGCAUCCCCAAGCCCACCUCUCACCUGAUCUUCUGCUGCCAACUUUGCUUCUCUCUUGCGGGCUCUAAAAUCAGCAUCUAAGCUUCUGUGGCCCGAAGCCCACAUAGGAGUCCUAAGUCAGGAGCACAUCAGGCACCUUUCUGUAGCUGAGUUCAGUAGGCAGAAAACAGGAGACUCCCUUCCUUCAGGUAGCAUUCAGCUUUGCUUGACUCUCUUCUGAGACCCUUGUAGCUUCCAGAAUUGUCCUUGUCCUUUUUUUUAAUACGGAACAUUUUUGGUUUUGUGAGGCUGAUAGCCUCACCUAGGAGCCAGAAAAGGCCCAGGGCAGCCUGGGUGGGGGACAAACCCUGUCCUCCCCAGUUCUUUUCCCCUAAGAUGCAGAGCAGAGAGGACCCAGGCAAGGUGGGCUCUCCACACCACAAGCCAGGGCAGGCCUGGAUUCCAGGGGCUUUUGUUCCAGAGAAUCUCUGAGAAGCAUCAUGGCCUUGGCUACUUUCAGGAGGACAAUGAAUUCAGGAGAGCAGAGUAAUGAUGCUGUAGAGCUUGUUACAGAGAAAGGCAGCUACAUUGCAGCUGAGAACAGAGGCUGCUCUGCCUUUAUGGCAGGGGAGGCAUGGCAAAGAGCAGACACUCCCCACCGCCAGGUGAGCCGCGGUGAGGGAAUGAACAAGGAUCCUCAGUAAGCCAACAGGCUAAUGUGAGGUUCCCAGGCUUGGCUGCACAUUUGAAUCACCUGUGGUGCUCUUCUGACCAACCAGUGCUAGAACCCUGUUC